UAUGGAAACUGCUCAGAGUGGCCAAGGAUAAAUUCUCUUGUUGUGAGGAUUACGAGGAAGUUGGAACAAGGCAGGCAGGCAGGCCGGCAAACUUUGAAAAAUUGAAAGUUCAAAUUCAUGAAGUCCUAAGGCCCACUGCUGACUCUUCUCACGCAGUCCACGUCUUUUCUCCUCUCAGCCCCUCACAAACUCUUUCGUCGGCGGUUUCUGCUGCGACUUAGGAGCAGCUGCUCCUCACAGAACCCGACUACUGACCCCGUGUCCGCCUCUCAUCGCCGCCGAAAGCAACCUCGACGCCGUUGCGGGCGGAGGAACGCCAUCAUACGAGCCACGGAACACGCUGCUGCUGGUAGUUUUACUUUUCUGAUUUGUACGAAUUUGUUUGUUUGUCUGAUGAGAAAGUGGCGGCUGUUGUGCAGUCGAUGGCAAGCUGUUCAGGUCACUAUCCCUGGACUCUCCUUUCUCUUGGAUAUACAUGGUGGGAAAUUUUACUGAACGUACAUUUUCCAUUCUUUCUUCCGUAGUAUAGGGUUGGUUCAUCGUUCCAGUCAUGCUAAACUACCGUUUGGAAUGAGACAGUAUAAUGGGGCCAAAAUCGAUUACUGCAACUCCGUUUCAGUAACAUCCAGAAGGGUGAUUUUAUCUUCUUUUUGGAAUGUAUGCUCUGUGUUCAAUUAUCUUGCGGAUGCUCGCAUAUUGAGGAUAGAGCUUUGUUAUUGCAGAUUGUUAGAGGAGGAAGAGGGGUUCAGUAGUUGCGUGCUCGUCGUGUUGGCACCGUAUGCGCUGCAUCCGUGGGAAGGGAUCAUCGUCGAUUGAGAAUUGAUGACGAUUCACCUCAGGAGCCCUACUUUUUAAGUCUUGUCCAAGAAGCAGUGUGGUAAUUCCCCUCUCAGACUCGGAUCAUAGAUUUGUCAGUAGCCCUCGAUAACUAGGAGCACAAAUUGGUGGUCUUGCAUAAGAAGUAGUAUUAUCUUAUGUGAUAAACAAAACGUUGCAAUUAUCAUUAAUUGGCCGGGGUUGAGAUCGUUAUUCGUUUUUCUGAUUGAGCAGCCUAGUCAGCUGAAGUAUAUCGAAUGUCCAGGCUUCCAUAGCACGGUAUGCGCAAAACAAAACUACACUCGGAAGAUGUAGAAUUAUGAAUUCUACGUUGUGACUUUGCAAUGUAUUAAGUCAACCAGUGAACACUUGCUUGUCCAUCUUUCAUUGAGUUCAAAAGUGAUUACAAAUUUCUGGUAUUUCAAAUUUGAGGUAGUUUUAUGAUUUCAUGCAGCUUAAGACUGCUACACUUGCCCUUGUUCUUGUGGCGCUACUCAUCGUGGCACUUUGAUCAACGGACUCUGCCCUCAGCUAUUUGUUGGCUUUGAUUCUCAGGCGAACCCCCUACUCAAAUAAUAUUAUCAGAAGUAGGACCAAGCAUCAAUACCAGAAUUAUGACCGAGCUCAUCUGUUGGAGACGCUACAUUACACAUUCCAUUGGACCAUUGCCCCUUUGGUAUGUUUUUAUCGAAUCAACACACCAAAUGAUGCGAGUGUACCUUGUUAUUUUAGCAGUUGGAGAUAUUUAUCAAACAAGAUAGACCUUCACUUUUGUUCUAUGUGUGCUUGCCGUCCAGUUGCAAUGAAGAGUGGAUCCGCAUGGUCCCAAAUGAAUUGGUUUAUUCGAAAAAAGUCUUGUUCUUUGGAAGAUCUAUCUCGUGUCUGGUACUGCACGGUUCCACCCUGCAAUAACUCCGAAUCAUUCUCUUGAAGCCCAUCCUAAAACCCCGAACAAGCAAUUUCAACCGGCCGAUGACCCAUUUGGUUUAGUGGUUAAUUUCUCUUUAUUUUUUUAUUUUUCUUCUAUGGAUCUACCAUCCAUCCUCGCAAUUUAUUUUCUUCUUUUUUGGUUUUGAAUUGGAGCUUCCCUCCAGAGUUAGCUAGGUUUUUACUUGGGCGACAAGUAUGGAUGGAUUUACAUGUUC